AUCAACCUUGUUGCCUGGUAAUAUAUUUCCCAAUUAGGUAAUCCAAACCCUCCUCUGAUUCUUGCAUCCUGUAACAUUUUAUAGUUAAUUCUUGCUUU